AGUGAACGCUGGCGGUAGGCCUAACACAUGCAAGUCGAACGGCAGCACAGUAAGAGCUUGCUCUUACGGGUGGCGAGUGGCGGACGGGUGAGGAAUACAUCGGAAUCUACUUUUUCGUGGGGGCUAACGUAGGGAAACUUACGCUACUACCGCAUACGACCUACGGGUGAAAGCCGGGGAUCUUCGGACCUUGCGCGAUUGAAUGAGCCGAUGUCGGAUUAGCUAGUUGGCGGGGUAAAGGCCCACCAAGGCGACGAUCCGUAGCUGGUCUGAGAGGAUGAUCAGCCACACUGGAACUGAGACACGGUCCAGACUCCUACGGGAGGCAGCAGUGGGGAAUAUUGGACAAUGGGCGCAAGCCUGAUCCAGCCAUGCCGCGUGUGUGAAGAAGGCCUUCGGGUUGUAAAGCCCUUUUGUUGGGAAAGAAAAGCAUCAGGUUAAUACCCCGCUGUUCUGACGGUACCCAAAGAAUAAGCACCGGCUAACUUCGUG
rnacentral:rRNA from 1 species